UGUUAAAAAUUUCAACCAUUUGUACUGUUAAAAACUAAGAUGACUGAUAGAACAACCAAAUAAUUACACGAAAUAUAUCACCUAUACUUUAUACUGACGUACACGGAAUAAUUUUAACAGUAAGAAUGGAUGAAAUUUUUAAUA
rfam:Gossypium arboreum cultivar AKA8401 contig_584_9, whole genome shotgun sequence.